UGCCUCUGCCCAAAGCCAGCGAAGCCUUAGAGGCAGAGCUGCCUUCUUGAGCUACAGUGGACUGUAUGCAUGACUGAAUCCAGCCAAUACUAGAAGAACCACUCAGCUGAGCCCAGCCUAAACUGCCUACCCACACAAUUGUGCACUAAAUGAAUGGUGGUUGUUUGAAAACUUUCCAUUUUUGAAAUAACCUUUUUAUUCUGGAACAAUUUAAAAUUUUUGAAAGAGUUGAAAAGUUAUGGAUUGGAAAUGGCUGCUGGAAGUGGAGGGCAAAGUUGAGUCCACACCUGAAGAAUACACUGCAAUACGCUGAUAAAGAAUGGAGGACCUAAUCAUUUGUCUUGAAGAAACUGAAACAGUUGUACUGAUAAAUGGACCCAUUGAGAACAAUUAGAAAUCUCAACCACUUUUCUGAAUCCAAACAAGAACUUCUGUGAGUUUGAAGGGGAAGCCAGCUACCAUGCUGUCAGGACACUCAAGAUGCCCUAUGGUGAUGACAUUACAGAAAAGACCUGGCCAGAAGUUGGAGCCAACUUGCCAGCCACAUGAGUGACUGCCUUGGAGAGGGUCCUUCGGCUCCAGUAGAGCGGAAACUUUGGAUGGUGCAGCCCUGGGUGACAUUUGACUGCAGCCACAGGAGAUCCUGAGCCAGAGCU